rnacentral:rRNA from 1 species
UAUACAGCGAAACUGCGAAUGGCUCAUUAUAUAAGUUAUCGUUUAUUUGAUAGUGCCUUACUACUUGGAUAACCGUGGUAAUUCUAGAGCUAAUACAUGCUAAAAACCCCGACUUCGGAAGGGGUGUAUUUAUUAGAUAUAAAACCAAUGCCCUUCGGGGCUCUUUGGUGAUUCAUGAUAACUAUACGAAUCGCACGGCCUUGCGCCGGCGAUGGUUCAUUCAAAUUUCUUCCCUAUCAACUUUCGAUGUUUGGGUAUUGGCCAAACAUGGUUGCAACGGGUAACGGAGGGUUAGGGCUCGACCCCGGAGAAGGAGCCUGAGAAACGGCUACUACAUCCAAGGAAGGCAGCAGGCGCGCAAAUUACCCAAUCCCGACUCGGGGAGGUAGUGACAAUAAAUACUGAUACAGGGCCCUUUCGGGCCUUGUAAUUGGAAUGAAUACAAUUUAAAUCCCUUAACGAGGAACAAUUGGAGGGCAAGUCUGGUGCCAGCAGCCGCGGUAAUUCCAGCUCCAAUAGCGUAUAU